rnacentral:rRNA from 1 species
UGUCAAUGGCCUAACGGCUGAACCAGCAACUUGGGGGAAUGGAUAUAUAUAUUAGAGAUAAUAUAUAGUACCGACUCUGUCGGAUAAAGUUCUAGAUAAAAUAAUGAUAAUGACAAUUUUUUAUCUAUAUGUCUUGACCAAAUCUUGUGCCAGCAGUCGCGGUAACACAAGGGAGACUGGUGUUAUUCAUCUUUAUUAGGUUUAAAGGGUACCUAGACGGUAUAUCAAGCCCCAAAAGGGAACUGAUAUACUAGAGUUUUAUAUGAGAGGCAAAUAUAGUACUAUUGGUGUAGAGAUAAAAUUUUGUAAUACCUCUAGGCACGGAUAACGGCGAAGGCAAUCCUCUAUGUAAAAACUGACGUUGAGGGACGAAGGCUUGGGGAGCGAAUAGGAUUAGAUACCCUAGUAGUCCAAGCAGACAAUUAUGAAUGUCAUAGAUAAGAAAUGUCUUUUUAUCUAUAAAUGAAAGUGUAAGCAUUCCACCUCAAGAGUAAUGCGGCAACGCAGGAACUGAAAUCAUUAGACCGUUUCUGAAACCAGUAGUGAAGUAUGUUAUUUAAUUAGACGCCACUCCAAUAACCUUACCACAAUUUGAAUGUUAAUUAAUAAAUUAACACAGGCGUUGCAUGGCUGUCUUCAGUUAAUGUCGUGAGAUUUGGUUAGUUCCAAAAAAUUAACGUAAACCCUUGUUCUUUAUUUGUUUGAAUAAUGCAGUUAACCGCUAUAUUGGAUUAUAUAAC